CGAGUUUCCCACCCCUCCCAGGUCCACAGUUCGUGUUUUCCACCAGAGUGUCAGACACUGCUACAUGCCAGAGCAGCAUGGGAAACAGCAGGAUCUGGGACAAAUGCCGUGUUUCCCUGUCUCGUCUCUGGGUACCCAGGUGCCACCAGGAUUCCACCAGGAGAGGAAGUCAGAAACCGGUCUGAGGUCCACCUUUCCCCUUGGAGCAUCUGCACGCCAGGCAGGAAGGGGAAGGCAGAGCCUAGGAUGAGAGGGAUCCUGCCUGAUUUGGAGCAAGUUCCUUACCAUACCUGAAGGACUAGAGAAGAGAAAAGCCCUCCUUCAGGAGUCUUAGAUGUGGCUCUUUUAGGCAAAGGGUCUCCCCCAUGGAAAUUUUUUAAUGAAGCAGCUCUCUGAGACGA
rnacentral:lncRNA from 1 species